AGAGUUUGAUCCUGGCUCAGAUUGAACGCUGGCGGCAUGCUUUACACAUGCAAGUCGAACGGUAACAGGGUGCUUGCACCGCUGACGAGUGGCGAACGGGUGAGUAAUGCAUCGGAAUGUACCGUGUAAUGGGGGAUAGCUCGGCGAAAGCCGGAUUAAUACCGCAUACGCCCUGAGGGGGAAAGUGGGGGACCGUAAGGCCUCACGUUAUACGAGCAGCCGAUGUCUGAUUAGCUAGUUGGUGGGGUAAAGGCUCACCAAGGCUUCGAUCAGUAGCGGGUCUGAGAGGAUGAUCCGCCACACUGGGACUGAGACACGGCCCAGACUCCUACGGGAGGCAGCAGUGGGGAAUUUUGGACAAUGGGCGCAAGCCUGAUCCAGCCAUGCCGCGUGUCUGAAGAAGGCCUUCGGGUUGUAAAGGACUUUUGUCCGGGAGCAAAUCCCAGUGGUUAAUACCUACUGGGGGCUGAGAGUACCGGAAGAAUAAGCACCGGCUAACUACGUGCCAGCAGCCGC
rnacentral:rRNA from 1 species